rnacentral:rRNA from 1 species
GAUGAACGCUGGCGGCGUGCCUAAUACAUGCAAGUCGAGCGAACAGAUAAGGAGCUUGCUCCUUUGACGUUAGCGGCGGACGGGUGAGUAACACGUGGGUAACCUACCUAUAAGACUGGAAUAACUCCGGGAAACCGGGGCUAAUGCCGGAUAACAUUUAGAACCGCAUGGUUCUAAAGUGAAAGAUGGUUUUGCUAUCACUUAUAGAUGGACCCGCGCCGUAUUAGCUAGUUGGUAAGGUAACGGCUUACCAAGGCAACGAUACGUAGCCGACCUGAGAGGGUGAUCGGCCACACUGGAACUGAGACACGGUCCAGACGCCUACGGGAGGCAGCAGUAGGGAAUCUUCCGCAAUGGGCGAAAGCCUGACGGAGCAACGCCGCGUGAGUGAUGAAGGGUUUCGGCUCGUAAAACUCUGUUAUUAGGGAAGAACAAACGUGUAAGUAACUGUGCACGUCUUGACGGUACCUAAUCAGAAAGCCACGGCUAACUACGUGCCAGCCGCCGCAGUAACAC